CGGGGUGCACCAGGCGCGAAAACUUUACAAUGCUGGCAACAGCGAUAAGGGGACCUCGAGUGCCAGGAUACAAUCUUGGCUGUCGUGAUGCCUAAAAAGCAUUGCAUAGCAAGGGCCGGGCAAGACCGGUGCCAGCCGCCGCGGUAACACCGGCGGCUCGAGUGGUAACCGCUAUUAUUGGGUCUAAAGGGUCUGUAGCCGGCCGGAUAAGUCUCUUGGGAAAUCCGACAGCUCAACUGUCGGGCUUUCAGGGGAUACUGUUCGGCUCGAGGCCGGGAGAGGUGAGAGGUACUUCAGGGGUAGGGGUGAAAUCUUGUAAUCCUUGAAGGACCACCAGUGGCGAAGGCGUCUCACCAGAACGGUCCUGACAGCAAGGGACGAAAGCUAGGGGCACGAACCGGAUUAGAUACCCGGGUAGUCCUAGCCGUAAACGAUACUCGCUAGGUGUCGGCCACGGUGCGACCGUGGUCGGUGCCGUAGGGAAGCCGUGAAGCGAGCCACCUGGGAAGUACGGCCGCAAGGCUGAAACUUAAAGGAAUG
rnacentral:rRNA from 1 species